UACGUAGGUGACAAGCGUUGUCCGGAUUUAUUGGGCGUAAAGAGCUCGUAGGCGGUUCGGUAAGUCGGGUGUGAAACCUCCAGGCUCAACCUGGAGACGCCACCCGAUACUGCUGUGACUAGAGUCCGGUAGGGGAGCGUGGAAUUCCUGGUGUAGCGGUGAAAUGCGCAGAUAUCAGGAGGAACACCAGCGGCGAAGGCGGCGCUCUGGGCCGGAACUGACGCUGAGGAGCGAAAGCGUGGGGAGCAAACAGG
rnacentral:rRNA from 1 species